ensembl:lncRNA
CUUAGCUGUUAAAGAAUGGAGAUUCCAAAGAAACAUUCCCCACUGUGUUCUGCAAGGAUUCCUGACUGGAUCUGUCUAUUUAGCCCAGGCUGUCCUGGAACUUGCUAAGUGCUAAGGAGAACAGACUGGUUCAAACUCACAACAGUAUGCCAAGCGGGAUUAAAGGUGUGUGCCACUAUUCCUGGCUGUAUUACCCUUAAAAAAACAAAACAAAAAACCAAUCGUUACUUAAGAAAACUUAGUUACUUAAGAAAACAAUGGCUAACCCAGCUUGCUCCUCACCCUUUUCCUCUCUCCCUUCCCCCUAUUCUUCUUCGGUGUCAGCAGUUAUCUUGCUUGUGUCAAAACACACUUUCCUUUUUUUGAAGACCUCCUUUUACUUCAGUGAUGUUAUGGUACAGUGCCUGCAGAGCUGUACAUUAAAAAUAAUUGCCUACCAGUGAAAUAAAAGAAUUAUCCUGAGACAGGCUUGGUGUGGGGAAGACCCCAUUUCUGACAUGAGACAAUAUCAGGAUACUACACUGUGAAGGAAAGCUGCACGAGCUGUAGAAGUGAUAGCUUAAAUGACAGAGUAUACAUUCUCCCACGAUUCUAGAGGCCAAAAUCUUAACAUGUCAAAGUGUCAAUAGGGUCAGUCUCUUUGCAGACUUCCCCCUUGGCUGAUAGAUGGCCUGCUAUACCGAUAUAAACUUGGUCCUCCUCUGCAUGCCUGUGUAUGCCUCUCUCCUUACUGCACUGGCAUCUACUUUAAUGACUUACUUUUGCUUAGAGACAUGAAUCUAAACAUAGUCAGUCCUAUCAUGACUUCGGGUUAGGGUUUCAGUUAUAAAUUCAGAGAAGAGAGGACAGAAUCCAGCUACCAUUAAUUACCAUUAAUUAAUUACAGAAUUAUUUGGAUGUCAGUUCCUCAUCGAUGUCCAGUUUGAGCAGUGCUAAACUAGACACCAUCAGAGCCCGAAAUGCAGAUUCAGGGGUUAAUUUGGGAGCUUCACUGGGGUUGGCUGUUGCAAGCUCCUCUUGUUACAGAUUGUUCAUUACAAACAUUAAAACAAGCUGCCACAUCUCUGGCCAUACAGUCCUCAUCUCGUCUAAACAAGCUGCAGAACUGAUUACCUGGAUUGACUGCCAAUCAGGAGAAAUCUGCUAGGGGCAGAUGUGCUGAGGAAGCCACUUAAGCACCAAGGGGACAGUGGAGGAGUCAUAAGUCGGCAACCCUGCGUCGUGGGUCACGAUGUUAUGGGAUGAGACCCCAUAGUCACAACACCCCUCUAUAGCUGCUUUUAGAAAUCUGAGAGUAGAAGGCUGUGGAGAUGUUCCCACUUAAUAUGUAGGUAAAUUUGUUUUGGCAUUUGAAGGAGAGACACUAAUGAGUAAUUCAUCUCUGUCACGUUAAAACUCCCCAGUUCCUCUGGAUAAAUGCUAACUGGUUUUACUUGGAAACCACGAGGACUUUUCUAUUGUUCUGAAUGGAAGGAGGGGCUUUCUUACCAUCUUACUCCCUGGGUUUAGAUAAAGUUUCCAGAGGAGGUUGACAUACAGGCACUGGGAUUCUCUAACUAUCCCUACUUGUUCAUCAAGACAUUUAAUUUAAUUUAAGCCAUGCCCCUGUCAGUGAGUUACUAUUUCAGCUGCUUUUAUAUUUUGUAUGCACAUAUGUUAAAAAUAGUGAUAUAGUGGAAAAGUCUAAAACAUACGACAAUGUUCAUAACCCUAUUUUUGUAUUUCUUUAUGUUUGGGGGAUAACUGCAUGAUGAAACAUGCCAUCAGCAGACUAUGUGACUCUAACCGUGGGAAAACUAUUAAGGUCCAAGACCACCAUGACUAGAUGAUGGCCCUUAAGCUAGGCACAAAAUGGGAGACUCCGUUGUUAGGAGGUUUUCUCUUCCUUUAACCUUGUCUGGGGGAUUCUAGUCCCCGCACUUACCCUUACCUGAGAAAAGUCAUGUAGCAUAAAAAUCUGGAGCUCUUUAUGUUAAUGAGGUAUCUAGAUAGGCUUCAGUGUUCAGCCAAUGAGCGUCCCUUCCCAGGCAUUCCUUUCUGCAAAAGGUACUGAAUCCCUAGGUCUCCCCACUCCUCCCCUCCCCAAGGUAAGGUGUAUGCAUUCCCAUUUGCCAUCAAAUAAAACAGUUUGGACAAGCAAUCAGGGGGGGCCUUUGUCAUAAAGAGCUGUCACAAAGGCUUCCCAGAGAAGGCCUUCUCUCUCCCAGCCCUACUCUGGGCACUCAAACCAAACCUGGCUCACCCCCCUUCCAGGCUCAGCCUUCACCUUUCUG